GACGUAGGGUCGCAAGCGUUGUCCGGAAUUAUUGGGCGUAAAGAGCUCGUAGGCGGCUUGUCGCGUCGAAUGUGAAAACCACGCUCAACUGCGGCUUGCAUUCGAUACGGGCAGGCUAGAGUUCGGUAGGGGAGACUGGAAUUCCUGGUGUAGCGGUGAAAUGCGCAGAUAUCAGGAGGAACACCGGUGGCGAAGGCGGUUCUCUGGGCAUGUCCUGACGCUGAGGAGCGAAAGUGUGGGGAGCGAACAGG
rnacentral:rRNA from 1 species